rnacentral:rRNA from 2 species
UUAAGCGACUAAGCGUACACGGUGGAUGCCCUGGCAGUCAGAGGCGAUGAAGGACGUGCUAAUCUGCGAUAAGCGUCGGUAAGGUGAUAUGAACCGUUAUAACCGGCGAUUUCCGAAUGGGGAAACCCAGUGUGUUUCGACACACUAUCAUUAACUGAAUCCAUAGGUUAAUGAGGCGAACCGGGGGAACUGAAACAUCUAAGUACCCCGAGGAAAAGAAAUCAACCGAGAUUCCCCCAGUAGCGGCGAGCGAACGGGGAGGAGCCCAGAGCCUGAAUCAGUGUGUGUGUUAGUGGAAGCGUCUGGAAAGGCGCGCGAUACAGGGUGACAGCCCCGUACACAAAAAUGCACAUGCUGUGAGCUCGAUGAGUAGGGCGGGACACGUGGUAUCCUGUCUGAAUAUGGGGGGACCAUCCUCCAAGGCUAAAUACUCCUGACUGACCGAUAGUGAACCAGUACCGUGAGGGAAAGGCGAAAAGAACCCCGGCGAGGGGAGUGAAAAAGAACCUGAAACCGUGUACGUACAAGCAGUGGGAGCACGCUUAGGCGUGUGACUGCGUACCUUUUGUAUAAUGGGUCAGCGACUUAUAUUCUGUAGCAAGGUUAACCGAAUAGGGGAGCCGAAGGGAAACCGAGUCUUAACUGGGCGUUAAGUUGCAGGGUAUAGACCCGAAACCCGGUGAUCUAGCCAUGGGCAGGUUGAAGGUUGGGUAACACUAACUGGAGGACCGAACCGACUAAUGUUGAAAAAUUAGCGGAUGACUUGUGGCUGGGGGUGAAAGGCCAAUCAAACCGGGAGAUAGCUGGUUCUCCCCGAAAGCUAUUUAGGUAGCGCCUCGUGAACUCAUCUCCGGGGGUAGAGCACUGUUUCGGCAAGGGGGUCAUCCCGACUUACCAACCCGAUGCAAACUGCGAAUACCGGAGAAUGUUAUCACGGGAGACACACGGCGGGUGCUAACGUCCGUCGUGAAGAGGGAAACAACCCAGACCGCCAGCUAAGGUCCCAAAGUCAUGGUUAAGUGGGAAACGAUGUGGGAAGGCCCAGACAGCCAGGAUGUUGGCUUAGAAGCAGCCAUCAUUUAAAGAAAGCGUAAUAGCUCACUGGUCGAGUCGGCCUGCGCGGAAGAUGUAACGGGGCUAAACCAUGCACCGAAGCUGCGGCAGCGACGCUUAUGCGUUGUUGGGUAGGGGAGCGUUCUGUAAGCCUGUGAAGGUGUACUGUGAGGUAUGCUGGAGGUAUCAGAAGUGCGAAUGCUGACAUAAGUAACGAUAAAGCGGGUGAAAAGCCCGCUCGCCGGAAGACCAAGGGUUCCUGUCCAACGUUAAUCGGGGCAGGGUGAGUCGACCCCUAAGGCGAGGCCGAAAGGCGUAGUCGAUGGGAAACAGGUUAAUAUUCCUGUACUUGGUGUUACUGCGAAGGGGGGACGGAGAAGGCUAUGUUGGCCGGGCGACGGUUGUCCCGGUUUAAGCGUGUAGGCUGGUUUUCCAGGCAAAUCCGGAAAAUCAAGGCUGAGGCGUGAUGACGAGGCACUACGGUGCUGAAGCAACAAAUGCCCUGCUUCCAGGAAAAGCCUCUAAGCAUCAGGUAACAUCAAAUCGUACCCCAAACCGACACAGGUGGUCAGGUAGAGAAUACCAAGGCGCUUGAGAGAACUCGGGUGAAGGAACUAGGCAAAAUGGUGCCGUAACUUCGGGAGAAGGCACGCUGAUAUGUAGGUGAAGCGACUUGCUCGUGGAGCUGAAAUCAGUCGAAGAUACCAGCUGGCUGCAACUGUUUAUUAAAAACACAGCACUGUGCAAACACGAAAGUGGACGUAUACGGUGUGACGCCUGCCCGGUGCCGGAAGGUUAAUUGAUGGGGUUAGCGCAAGCGAAGCUCUUGAUCGAAGCCCCGGUAAACGGCGGCCGUAACUAUAACGGUCCUAAGGUAGCGAAAUUCCUUGUCGGGUAAGUUCCGACCUGCACGAAUGGCGUAAUGAUGGCCAGGCUGUCUCCACCCGAGACUCAGUGAAAUUGAACUCGCUGUGAAGAUGCAGUGUACCCGCGGCAAGACGGAAAGACCCCGUGAACCUUUACUAUAGCUUGACACUGAACAUUGAGCCUUGAUGUGUAGGAUAGGUGGGAGGCUUUGAAGUGUGGACGCCAGUCUGCAUGGAGCCGACCUUGAAAUACCACCCUUUAAUGUUUGAUGUUCUAACGUUGACCCGUAAUCCGGGUUGCGGACAGUGUCUGGUGGGUAGUUUGACUGGGGCGGUCUCCUCCUAAAGAGUAACGGAGGAGCACGAAGGUUGGCUAAUCCUGGUCGGACAUCAGGAGGUUAGUGCAAUGGCAUAAGCCAGCUUGACUGCGAGCGUGACGGCGCGAGCAGGUGCGAAAGCAGGUCAUAGUGAUCCGGUGGUUCUGAAUGGAAGGGCCAUCGCUCAACGGAUAAAAGGUACUCCGGGGAUAACAGGCUGAUACCGCCCAAGAGUUCAUAUCGACGGCGGUGUUUGGCACCUCGAUGUCGGCUCAUCACAUCCUGGGGCUGAAGUAGGUCCCAAGGGUAUGGCUGUUCGCCAUUUAAAGUGGUACGCGAGCUGGGUUUAGAACGUCGUGAGACAGUUCGGUCCCUAUCUGCCGUGGGCGCUGGAGAACUGAGGGGGGCUGCUCCUAGUACGAGAGGACCGGAGUGGACGCAUCACUGGUGUUCGGGUUGUCAUGCCAAUGGCACUGCCCGGUAGCUAAAUGCGGAAGAGAUAAGUGCUGAAAGCAUCUAAGCACGAAACUUGCCCCGAGAUGAGUUCUCCCUGACUCCUUGAGAGUCCUGAAGGAACGUUGAAGACGACGACGUUGAUAGGCCGGGUGUGUAAGCGCAGCGAUGCGUUGAGCUAACCGGUACUAAUGAACCGUGAGGCUUAACCUU